GGGUGCGAUCAUACCAGCACUAAUGCACCGGAUCCAAUCAGAACUCCACAGUUAAGCGUGCUUGGGCGAGAGUAGUACUAGGAUGAGUGACCUCUUGGGAAGUCCUCGUGUUGCACCCC
rfam:Gossypium raimondii scaffold_810_contig_1, whole genome shotgun sequence.